rnacentral:rRNA from 1 species
AUCGAACGCUGGCGGCAUGCCUUACACAUGCAAGUCGAACGGUAACAGGUCUUCGGAUGCUGACGAGUGGCGAACGGGUGGGUAAUACAUCGGAACGUGCCUAGUAGUGGGGGAUAACUACUCGAAAGAGUGGCUAAUACCGCAUGAGAUCUACGGAUGAAAGCAGGGGAUCGCAAGACCUUGUGCUACUAGAGCGGCCGAUGGCAGAUUAGGUAGUUGGUGGGAUAAAAGCUUACCAAGCCGACGAUCUGUAGCUGGUCUGAGAGGACGAUCAGCCACACUGGGACUGAGACACGGCCCAGACUCCUACGGGAGGCAGCAGUGGGGAGUUUUGGACAAUGGGCGCAAGCCUGAUUCAGCAAUGCCGCGUGCAGGAUGAAGGCCUUCGGGUUGUAAACUGCUUCUGUACGGAACGAAAAGCCCUGGGUUAAUACCCUGGGGUCAUGACGGUACCGUAAGAAUAAGCACCGGCUAACUACGUGCCAGCCGCCGCCGUAAAAC